GUCAGAGUAGCAUUUUAAGAUGUAUUCCAUCCCCCCUUUACCUUUGGCCUCUUUUGCAACAUAUGUGACCCCAAGGAAAGCUUUUCUCAGCUGUGAAGGGCCUCAAAACUUGCCCCAGCUGGGUCGGGCAGAGAAAGAGAAAGAAAGAAAAUCUCAUCAGAGUGACAUCAAGAACCAUUUUUUUUAAUUGGCAAUCUGAUUCUAAAAACAUAUGAAAAUGCAAAGGACUUAGUAAAGCCAUAACAUCUUUGAAAAGAAAAACAAAGUGGGAAGACAAACACUACCUGGUUUCAAGAUGAAUUACAGAACUAUAAUCAUCAAGAGAAUGUGGUUCUGACAUCAAGACAGACAAAUACAAAAACAGAAGAAAAUAGAAAAUCCAGAAAUAAACCUACACAAAUACGCA
rnacentral:lncRNA from 12 species